UAAAAACUGGAAGCUAAGCGCUUUAGCGUCCUUUUCUGAAGCUGGUCGCUGAGAGAAGCUAUCGCUAGUUCACAAUGUUUUACAAGAUUAUCAGUCUCGUUUCUUCACAUGUCGAGUUGCUCGCUAAUCGCAUUUCAUUGGAUGGUCACCUCUUCGGAGCAGAUUUUGGAUGAUGGCUGUGUGCAUUGACCUAAUCGGUGACGUUGAAGCAGGCUAAUCAAGCAUCAUGCUUGGAUUCAGCAAAAUAUGCAAUGGGUGAACUCAGAAGAGCAACAGUCAUUUUUGUUGCGUUGAGAUGACUCAGAACGGCAGCAUGAGCAGUGUAUGAUGGCAGGAAACGAGGUGAGGCUUUUCUAUAGUCACCCUGCGUCGCUUGGAUUUUAAAGUCUCCAUCAUUCUGAAGACUGAUUUUUGUGUUUUUAUGCUUUUGUAAUAAAAAAAUGAUAAAUUUCU